rnacentral:rRNA from 1 species
ACUACGGGAGGCUGCAGUGAGGAAUAUUGGUCAAUGGGCGCGAGCCUGAACCAGCAACGCCGCGUGAAGGAAGAAGGCUUUCGGGUUGUAAACUUCUUUUCUCAGGGACGAAGAAAGUGACGGUACCUGAGGAAUAAGCCACGGCUAACUACGUGCCAGCAGCCGCGGUAAUACGUAGGUGGCAAGCGUUAUCCGGAUUUAUUGGGUGUAAAGGGCGUGUAGGCGGGAGCGCAAGUCAGAUGUGAAAACUCAGGGCUCAACCCUGAGCCUGCAUUUGAAACUGUGUUUCUUGAGUGCUGGAGAGGCAAUCGGAAUUCCGGGUGGAGCGGUGAAAUGCGUAGAUAUACGGAGGAACACCAGUGGCGAAGGCGGAUUGCUGGACAGUAACUGACGCUGAGGCGCGAAAGCGUGGGGAGCAAACAGGAUUAGAUACCCUUGUAGUC